UCCGGCUUGUCGCCGGCGGUCCCUUUAGAGUGCCCAACUAAAUGAUGGCAACUAAAGGCGAGGGUUGCGCUCGUUGCGGGACUUAACCCAACAUCUCACGACACGAGCUGACGACAGCCAUGCAGCACCUGUGCAUGGAUCCCGAAGGAGGCUCCUGGUUUCUCAGGAGUUUCCCAUGCAUGUCAAGCCUAGGUAAGGUUCUUCGCGUUGCGUCGAAUUAAACCACAUGCUCCACCGCUUGUGCGGGCCCCCGUCAAUUCCUUUGAGUUUCAACCUUGCGGUCGUACUUCCCAGGUGGAGUACUUAUCGCGUUAGCUUCGCUACACAGGGAGUCGAUACCCCAUACAGCUAGUACUCAUCGUUUACGGCGUGGACUAC
rnacentral:misc_RNA from 1 species